GUUAACUCGUGACACAAACUCAGGACUUCACAUUAUAAUUAGUAUAGAUAAUUAUUAUCUAUACUAAUUAUAAUGUGAAGUCCUGAGUUUGUGUCAUGAGUUAAC
rnacentral:pre_miRNA from 1 species